GACGAACGCUGGCGGCGUGCCUAAUACAUGCAAGUAGAACGCUGAAGCUUGGUGCUUGCACCGAGCGGAUGAGUUGCGAACGGGUGAGUAACGCGUAGGUAACCUGCCUGGUAGCGGGGGAUAACUAUUGGAAACGAUAGCUAAUACCGCAUAAAAUGGAUUAUCGCAUGAUAAUCCAUUGAAAGGUGCAAAUGCAUCACUACCAGAUGGACCUGCGUUGUAUUAGCUAGUUGGUGGGGUAACGGCUCACCAAGGCGACGAUACAUAGCCGACCUGAGAGGGCGAUCGGCCACACUGGGACUGAGACACGGCCCAGACUCCUACGGGAGGCAGCAGUAGGGAAUCUUCGGCAAUGGACGGAAGUCUGACCGAGCAACGCCGCGUGAGUGAAGAAGGUUUUCGGAUCGUAAAGCUCUGUUGUAAGAGAAGAACGAGUGUGAGAGUGGAAAGUUCACACUGUGACGGUAUCUUACCA
rnacentral:rRNA from 1 species